rnacentral:rRNA from 1 species
UACAGAGGUCCCAAGCGUUGUUCGGAUUCACUGGGCGUAAAGGGUGCGUAGGCGGUCAGGUAAGUCUGAUGUGAAAUCUUCAAGCUCAACUUGGAAACUGCAUCGGAUACUAUUCGGCUCGAGGAAUGGAGGGGAGACUGGAAUACUUGGUGUAGCAGUGAAAUGCGUAGAUAUCAAGUGGAACACCAGUGGCGAAGGCGAGUCUCUGGACAUUUCCUGACGCUGAGGCACGAAAGCCAGGGGAGCAAACGGG